UUUCAUAUGGCUCAGAUGGUAAAGCAUCUGCCUGCAAUGCAGGAGACCCAGGUUCGAUCCCUGGGUUGGGAA
rnacentral:tRNA from 1 species